UGGGGAAUAUUGCACAAUGGGCGCAAGCCUGAUGCAGCCAUGCCGCGUGUGUGAAGAAGGCCUUCGGGUUGUAAAGCACUUUCAGCGGGGAGGAAGGCGAUAAGGUUAAUAACCUUGUCGAUUGACGUUACCCGCAGAAGAAGCACCGGCUAACUCCGUGCCAGCAGCCGCGGUAAUACGGAGGGUGCAAGCGUUAAUCGGAAUUACUGGGCGUAAAGCGCACGCAGGCGGUCUGUCAAGUCGGAUGUGAAAUCCCCGGGCUCAACCUGGGAACUGCAUCUGAUACAGGCAAGCUUGAGUCUCGUGGAGGGGGGUAGAGUUCAAGGUGUAGCGGUGAAAUGCGUAGAGAUCUGGAGGAAUACCGGUGGAGAAGGCGGCCCCCUGGACGAAGACUGACGCUCAGGUGCGAAAGCGUGGGGAGCAAACAGG
rnacentral:rRNA from 1 species